UACGAAGGGGCUAGCGUUGUUCGGAUUUACUGGGCGUAAAGCGCACGUAGGCGGUUUGUUAAGUCAGAGGUGAAAAUCCCGGGAGCUCAACUCCGGAACUGCCUUUGAUACUGGCAAGCUAGAGUCCGGAAGAGGUAAGUGGAACUCCUAGUGUAGAGGUGGAAUUCGUAGAUAUUAGGAAGAACACCAGUGGCGAAGGCGACUUACUGGACACAUAUUGACGCUGAGGUGCGAAAGCGUGGGGGAGCAAACAGG
rnacentral:rRNA from 1 species